UACGAAGGGGGCUAGCGUUGCUCGGAAUCACUGGGCGUAAAGCGCACAUAGGCGGAUUGCUAAGUCAGGGGUGAAAUCCUGGAGCUCAACUCCAGAACUGCCUUUGAUACUGAAGAUCUUGAGUUCGGGAGAGGUGAGUGGAACUGCGAGUGUAGAGGUGAAAUUCGUAGAUAUUCGCAAGAACACCAGUGGCGAAGGCGGCUCACUGGCCCGAUACUGACGCUGAGGUGCGAAAGCGUGGGGAGCAAACAGG
rnacentral:rRNA from 1 species